rnacentral:rRNA from 1 species
AUUGAACGCUGGCGGCAUGCCUAACACAUGCAAGUCGAGCGGAUGAAGGGAGCUUGCUCCUGGAUUCAGCGGCGGACGGUGGGGUAAUGCCUAGUAAUCUGCCUUGUAGUGUGGGAUAACGUCCUGAAACGGGCGCUAAUACCGCAUACGUCCUGAGGGAGAAAGUGGGGGAUCUUGGGACCUAUCGCUUUGAGAGGGGCGUAGGGCGGAUUAGCUAGUUGGUGGGGUAAAGGCCUUCCAAGGCGACGAUCCGUAACUGGUCUGAGAGGAUGAUCAGUCACACUGGAACUGAGACACGGUCCAGACUCCUACGGGAGGGAGCAGUGGGGAAUAUUGGACAAUGGGCGAAAGCCUGAUCCAGCCAUGCCGCGUGUGUGAAGAAGGUCUUCGGAUUGUAAAGCACUUUAAGUUGGGAGGAAGGGAAGUAAGUUAAUACCUUGCUGUUUUGACGUUACCAACAGAAUAAGCCCCGGCUAACUUCGUG